GAUUAUGGCUCAGGAUGAACGCUAGCGGCAGGCUUAACACAUGCAAGUCGAGGGGCAACGCGAGUAGCAAUACUUGGCGGCGACCGGCGCAAGGGUGCGUAACGCGUGAGCAACAUGCCCGUAUCAGGGGGAUAAUCCAGGGAAACUUGGUCUAAUACCCCAUAGUAAUUUUGUAAGGCAUCUUAUAAGAUUUAAAGCUUUGGUGGAUACGGAUUGGCUCGCGUGACAUUAGCUGGAUGGUAAGGUAACGGCUUACCAUGGCUAUGAUGUCUAGGGGUUCUGAGAGGAAGGUCCCCCACACUGGAACUGAGACACGGUCCAGACUCCUACGGGAGGCAGCAGUGAGGAAUAUUGGACAAUGGAUGGAAAUCUGAUCCAGCCAUGCCGCGUGAAAGGAAGAAGGUCCUAUGGAUUGUAAACUUCUUUUGUAUGGGAGCAAUAAGGCCUACGUGUAGGUUGAUGAGAGUACCAUACGAAUAAGCACCGGCUAACUCCGUGCCAGCAGCAGC
rnacentral:rRNA from 1 species